GCUCUCUUUGGGAGAACAUAUACCAAAAAUGGAACAAUACAGAGAUUAGCAUGGCCCCUGCUCAAGGAUGACAUGCAAGUUUGUGAAGCAUUCCAUAUAAAA
ensembl:snRNA U6 U6 spliceosomal RNA